GACAUGAUAUCUACCCUUUUCGCAUACAUAGUUACCUGCCCCUUUUUACUAACCAUCCCCAAAAGUUUAUUACACAUUAUUACAACCCAGAAUAAAGUAAAAAAUACAUCACAAAACAUAGAUGAAAGUAAAUCAAAUGAGAACCUAAUUCAGACUUCAUGUCUGAAAUAUGAGGUAAACCAACUCCAGAAGAUCAUGAUGCAACGCCUUUCUCCCAUUUGAGUGUGUCAAAGUUCCCUAAAAGUCUAAAAGGGAAUCCGAGAAAUGCUCACACCCAAAUGUAUUAUCAGAUUGGGGGACAAGUUCAGUGUGGAAGGGUCAGCUCUCAAGUGUCCAAGUUCAGAGGAAACUCAAAGGAUCCCAAGGCAAGCCUCACAAGAGGGGGGCAGAACUUAAAGACUAAGAAAGUGUGCUAGUACAUAACAGAAUGCUAAAAGGGGAAAAGAGAGGAAAACAGCUACAAAUAAGCACACAUAAGGGAUUCAGGGGAAGAGGGAGGUUGUAAAGAGCCUAUUGCUAAGGAAAGGGCAGACUUUAGGCAUGCCCUGCAAUGGAGAAUGCUAGCAAACCUAUAAGCCUGGCAAAACAUAUGUUAUUAGAGGCUAGGAUCCCAGGGGAUCAAAUUUGAUCCAUGGACAAUAACUUGCAGUAUUGUCAUGCCUCAAACCAUAAUUUAAACAUAUAGGGGGUAGGGGUUUUGGAUUUAUAGUAGAACAUACAGAAAGAAAUCAGUAUACUUGAGUAAGUGUUGAACUAUACAUAAGAAAUAAACAAGGAUACAAAAAAGAAUAAAGAAACACAUUGUUGCGGUGCUAGAAAAAACGUAAAUCAGGACAUACCAGUUUCAAAGAAGAAAAUAGAAAAAAAGCAAGGAACAGGUCUUGUAACAUGCCACAGUACAAGCAAACAAGAGAGAACACUUUUGAGUGUAAGUGUAAACUCAGAAUACUACGAGUGAUGGAUGAUUUUGUGAAAGAGUCGUGUAUUUGUAGUGUGAAAAAUAGGUAGAAAUAAGGUAAUAAAAUAAUUAAGGAACUGGGUAUCAAUCAAAAUCAAUCAGUACAAGACUUCCUUUAAUUAAGGAAUUCUAACUUAAAGGGUAAUGAGCUAGAAAAUUAUUUAAGGAAAGAGAUCAAACAAGCAUAUUGUGCAAAGUAGGCAAUUAGGGAUAAAUACAUAGAAGUUUAUUGAGGGGAAGAGUUUUUGAAAUAAACAGUCAAAACAAAAUAAAGUAAGAAUCAAUUAGUACACAGUAAACCAAGGGGUCAGAGAUUUUUGUAAUCACUGGUCCAUAAAUGAACCAAGUCAGAAAAGCUAAGGAAAGCUUUUGCCUCAAAUCGAGUAACAAGAAAACCAAGGAAAAAAAUCAAUCAAACUUAUACAAAGAAAGUCUGAAAUCAAUCAAAAUUGAAAACCCUUUUAGAGGGAAGUUCAGCACAUAUAUAAAGAGAACAUAAAUAUGUUAGGAUGAAUUUAGGGCGAAGAAAAACGUCAUGUAAUUGCAAAAUCAGUAACUAACAGAUCAUAGGAACAUGGUAGUCAUAUAGGUCAGCAAUGUAGAAGAGAGAUAGUAUCAAAUAACAUAUAAAGGGUCCAGUUUAAAGACCUUAGAAGAUUUUAGUAGAGAAUCAAAAUUGCUUAAAGAAAUAUAGGUUCAAAUAAAGAUUUCAAGACUCAGUUGAGCAACAGACGAAACAAAUUCAGAAACUUGAAAUAGUAGGGUUUCAGAAAUCAAAUAAUUUCAAAGGUGAAGAACAAGCAUAUCACAUAGCCAAUAGUCUCAAAACUCGGAUGAACCCCCAAAUUCUGGGGUUUUCACCAUCAAUCGAGUGUAGAGAUGUGAGGACAAGUAAUCAAGGAAAAAAAUGCUAACCGAAACAGGUUCAGGGGUCUCAAAAAGGAAUUGAGACCUUUAACAUGCUCUUUUAGUAGCAGGAACUCAUGAGAAGCAUAGUAAUAGACAACAUGCAAAAUACAGUAGAAGAACUCAAAGAAACAUAGUUGAAUAACUAAUAAGAAACCUAGUGGAAGAAACUAAUAAGAACAGUACGAGAAACAUAUACAGAAGCAUAUCAGAAGAAACUUAUCAAGAACACAGUAGGAGAAAUAUAUAAAGAAGCAUAUUAGAAGAAACUUAUCAAGAACACGGUAGGAGAAACAUAUAAAAACACAGUAAAGGAAACUGAUAAGAGCAUGGAAGAAGAAACUUAACAAGAAUACAGUUGAAGAAACUUAAUAAGAAAUAUAGUAGAAGAAACACACAAAGAAAAAAGAAAAUCAGAGAAACAUCUAAAUAACUCAAAACCCUAGAUCGAAAAAAAUAAAAUAAAAGUUCUUUUUUGAAAGUAUAGUUUUGAAAGAAAUGUCAAGAUAUUGUUAAUAAGUUUAGGGAAAAUACGGAUCUAGAACAGAUCUAAAGAAAUCAGAAGAAUCUUGAAAGCUAGGGUUUUAGAGGAACCCAAAAGAUGAGAAAGGCUUGGAUAGAUUUAAGAAGGAGGAGUCGAGGUCAAGGUUGAAAAACCAUGGCUUGCCAGAGCAAGGCCAGAGAUAGCCAAAUAACUUGAAUCAAACAAGGUCUGCACGAAGCUUCUUCGUGGUCAGGCCAUGAAACAUCAGCAACCAAGCGUGUAUGAACCAUGGAAGGCUGGUAGGUGGUGAGACCACCAUGGAUUCAGG
rnacentral:lncRNA from 1 species